GGGCAUGUAGCUCAGUGGUAGAGCGCUCGCUUUGCAUGUCAUGUCUGCGAGAGGUCUAGGGUUCGAUCCCCUACCUGUCCA